UACGUAGGGUGCGAGCGUUGUCCGGAAUUAUUGGGCGUAAAGAGCUCGUAGGCGGCCUGUUGCGUCCGCUGUGAAAUCCCAGGGCUCAACCCUGGGCGUGCAGUGGAUACGGGCAGGCUGGAGGCAGGCAGGGGAGAACGGAAUUCCCGGUGGUAGCGGUGAAAUGCGCAGAUAUCGGGAGGAACACCGGUGGCGAAGGCGGUUCUCUGG
rnacentral:rRNA from 1 species